rnacentral:lncRNA from 1 species
AGAAAUUGUUUUAAGAUUUACUGAGUAAGUCUAUGAAAUGUAACAAUGUAAUCAUGUCCAAUUUAUUUCUCUAAUGAAAAGAUAGUUUCCCAAAGCCAGACUUGUAAAAAUGAAUGUUUCUACCCUUUCUUUUUCUGACAGGAGGAGCUAGAACACAGUUAAAGCAGAGAAAUUGCAGCACAGAUUCAUCUUCUUUGUGGGAGAGAGAUCCCAGAUAAAAUUCAGAAAAUUUAGUGAGAGUAGCAGAACAAAUAAAAUAUUAUAUGAGUGACAAUGAUUUCAGCUUUCCUUCUAAUAUGAAAAGACAGCUGAAUUGAGGCACUUGGGCCACCCACUGCUGGAAGAAAAAUGCUUGAAUCCUCAGUACCUUUGAUUCGCUGGUUUGUGGAGGUGAGAAUGUAGCUCUCACAGCAUGUACUAGAGAAGUGGUCCCUAUUCUUCACCUGUUUCCUCUUCCUCCAUUAUUUACUGAGUGACUUGACCUGUGAUAAUAUAAACACAAGAAGGGCUCCAGAAGUCAUGGAUAAGUAUUGGCUGAUGGUGAUAAAAAGCUUUCCUAUAAGAAAUUCCACUUUGGUUCCCAAAAAGACAUCCCAAAGGAAAGUACACUACAAGAAGACUAUGCAUGAUACAAACCUAAAAGACAAGAGUAACAAGGAUGACGCUGAUAAGGGAGGCUCUGGUCAAAUGAUAAAGGACCUGUGUUCCAUGCUAAGGAAACAGAAAGUAUUGAGGGUUUGA